rnacentral:rRNA from 1 species
UACGUAGGGAGCAAGCGUUGUCCGGAUUCACUGGGUGUAAAGGGUGCGUAGGCGGAAGAAUAAGUCAGUGGUGAAAUCUUACGGCUCAACCGUGAAACUGCCAUUGAUACUGUUUUUCUUGAGUUCGGGAGAGGUUGAUGGAAUUCCAGGUGUAGCGGUGAAAUGCGUAGAUAUCUGGAAGAACACCAGUGGCGAAGGCGGUCAACUGGCCCGAUACUGACGCUGAGGCACGAAAGCGUGGGGAGCAAACAGG